GAUACUGUACUGGCAGUUGAAAAGGGAACACGGUUUGGUUGUAUGUAAUGUAAACAAUAAACAAAAAACUUGUGUCAUUGUUUUGAAUCCCAGUAGACUAUUAAAUGAGUUUUAUUUGGUCAACGAUGGCAAAUGAAGAUCUUCAACGUUCAGCUAGCACUGUAAAGAACAUUUGUAGGCAGAUGUGGCAGAGAGCUGCACGCAAAAUGUUGAGUGACCUCCACGUGCAACGGGACCUCAACGACUUGGCUUUGUAUUUUGCCCAGCACCCGGUCAUCGGCCUGUUAGCUUUUGCAGUGGUUGUGUCAUGUGGGAUACCGUUCCUCAUGUUUCUGAGUUUCGCUGCGAUUACGUUUGUGCUAACAUUUGCUGGCUUCAUUAUAAUAGAAGGGACCAUCUUGACAGUCGCUUCAUUUUUUCUGUGUGGAUUUCUCAUCACCGUGUUGCUGGUGAUGAUGGCUAUAGCUCUGACGGUCGGCAUAGCGUACCUUGGUUUUGCGAAGGUGUACGGUCUUCACCAAUCGAGUGCUGAUGCUAGCCCCUUGGCGCAGUUCAUCCUGAACAAGUUUCACAGUGAGCUGCCGGCAAGGAACGGGGUUCCAGGGGUACACCAGGACUGAUACGUAUCACCGCCUCUCUGUACUUCUUUCUGUUUUGUGUGAUAUUUAUUGACUUAACUGUGAUUAUCGUGUAGGUAUUAAAGAGUCUCAUGUUUAAUUAAACCUCUUUUGGAAUGUGUUUGACAACAGUCACUGAGACUGCUUUCUCUUGUAAUGCAUAUUUUACAACCACAAGUCAGUGUGAGUUUACGAAGUGCUGCUUUUUGUCACUUUCUAUAAUUAUAGCUCUGUAAACUAACAUUGAGGUCUGUUAAAAAUAAUUUCUAUUGUGCACUUAACUGCUGAUUGAAUAAAAUUUCAACUACUAUCUCCUUCAAAGUGGUUUCCUAUAUUGUCAACUCACAGUUGUCAUGGUUCCUCUAACUCUGAUGGCAUGUAGUUUUCUUUGUAACAAUUUCCCACAUCUGCCACGGCCAAAUAUUAAGAAUCUUUUGACAUUUUGCACCUGUUGUGCAACCUAAAAUUCCUUUGACCAUUUUCUUGUUGACAUGGUGUAUAGAUUUACAUUCAAAAACACAACGUUCAUCACUUUCAUGUUUGACCAAUUCUUUAAUUGUUUCUCUGUCACUGUUCCAAUGAACAUCGUCUGUGCUGGUGCAUCAUUCCAGUUGCUGCAAAUUGACUGCUAGUGUGUUGAAAGAAAUAAAAACAAAUGAUUGUUUCCAAAUACACACUUCACUUGGUGCAUUCAGUAGUUACAGCAAAUUGUUUUGUCAGUGCACUAUUUUAAAAGUUCAUAUUUUUAACAGACCACACUUAUCAAAAUUCUGGUGUGAAAAUGUAGCAUAAGAAUAAGAAGUCUUGUAAUAUGUGUGUGUAUAUGGAUUUAUAUACAUAUAGGUACACACACUUAACUUUUAACUGCCGUAGUAUCGGUGGAAUUACUUUUGUGCAAAGCACAUACAGUUAAAAAACGUGUUAUGGGCUGCUCCUUGCUGAAAUUAAUCAAAUAUUACAUUCAUACAAAUUUUGUUUUAGAGUGCUGUUUGUAAAUAAAGUUGCAUUGGUUUUAUGGAUUCACAUUGUAAACCUGCCCUUAUAUUUUUCCCUAAAUUAAAUUUUUCUAAAAAAAUUCCAUGUUUUUAUUCUGGAGUCAGCUUAGAAUUAUAAAUGAAAAUAGAAAGUAUGUUUAGAAGCUAAAAUAUGUAUAUUUUUUUUCCCCACAGUAAGAAAUUUAAAAUAUUGAGUACAAAUAAUACAUUUCAAUGUAUGUUGUUAUAUGUGAUAAUAUGCAAAUAGAUUUAUUUACCAUUACUUUUAUUUAAAAAAAAAAAUUAAAUAUUUGAAUAUUAUGUUGUUAAAAUGUUAUAAUCAUGUACCUGCUAAUGAGGAUACUUUUAGGUGGAUGGGUGACGAGCACUGCUCCACUGAAGGGGUGGUGAUGGCUUCGUUGCUCUACCCCUUGGGAGUAGAAGCGACGAUGGAGGUUGUAGACCAUUAGUCAAUAAAACAAUUGCCAUGGCACAGACA